GGCGGUUCUUGGGUUACUUACUCCGGAAUCAGGCUCCCUCCUCUCUGGUUCCAGGUGUAUCACCCGAGAACCCA
rfam:Myotis lucifugus cont2.17437, whole genome shotgun sequence.